CUUAGCUCAGAGUCACGUUUCCCUCUGAGUUCUUACGUGAUCUUAAUGAAUGAGAGGGGUUACCAACCAACUCAGUAUAAAACGUGAUCGCAGCCUCCUCCCAGGAAACCGGAGCGGGACAGUAAGUUCCCGAGGAAAGUCCUGGCCGGACGGGCGCACUGUGCAGUGAGCCCUGAUUCCCACCGCCCUCCUUCCACCUCCCGGCUCGCACCUGGGGCCGUGCAAGACGAGCCGGCUCUGGAGAUUUACGUUCGGGACAGGUGUAGAAGGAUGGAGCUUGCAGCCUUUGACAAGGAAGACAAACAGAACAGAAUCUACAACAGGAGCAGGAAACACUUAUGCAAACUCUCAAGAAACAUCUUUCUGUCAAAACUGAAACAGAUUGUGGUGUUCUGCAGCACAUUUCUCUGCUAGGGAAACAUUCUUGGUACAGUAUUUUUGCUCUUUGUAUGAUGUUUUUUCCAAGGAUUUUCUGAUAAAACAUGGUGAUGAGGGGUGAUAGCAGUCAUGUUAUGGUUGCUACUAACACACACAAGUCUUACCAGAGGUGAAGUAGAUGUAAUUUGCUUUUAUUUAAAAGCUUUUGCUCAGUAAUACUUUCAUGUCUUGAUCUAGCACUUGUAGUCAAGCAACAUUCCCAGUCUCAUCAGCCCUUAAGAUCCUGGUCUGAUUUUAUAUGAAAAAAAAGGGGCAGAUCUUUGGCUUGAUGGUUUUCUGAGAUCUCUGCAACAGUUUGGAGAGCAACAUAUUCCUCUACCUCGUGGUUUUGAACAGAAAAAGGAGAAGAUACUGUAUUUUUCAUACAUCUGGACUUGAAUUCUGCAAUAUAUGUACUAGUGAAUCUGGAUGCUGUCAUAUGAGCCAAGAUACUAAGCAACCAUAAUUUCUAACUCAUUCAGCAAAAUAAGUAAGCUUUUCAUAUUGAAAUAAUUAUCAUAUUUUAGAAGGAUAAAA